ACAUGCCUACAUCAUAGUGUUAAUUCAUUGGAUGUCAUUAGAACUCCAUAUUUAAGUGCGCUCAUGAUAGAGUAGUAUUGCGAUGGGUGACCGUUUGACAAUUCCUAGUGUUUUACAUGCC
rnacentral:rRNA from 1 species